GUAGGUGAACCUGCGGAAGGAUCAUUAACAAGUCCGUUGCGUGCGCAUUCGUGCGUAUGCACAUCCGUUCCAUGUACAGUCCGCUGUGCAUGACAUUUCUGCAAAUCUCUGAUUGGCACACUAUAAAUAAUACAAACUUUUAACAAUGGAUCUCUAGGCUCUG
rnacentral:misc_RNA from 1 species